UAAACCCACAAGUUGGUAAAGGAAAAAGGAAACAAACAAAUGUCAAUAUCUUUAUAAAAAAAACAACAAAUGAACAACGAAAUUCAUGUGACUAAUCACUAUUAUAGUAGUAUUAUUUUAGAUACUAACUAAGAGUCUUGAAAUGAGUAAAGUUUUCAACCCUUGCGGUAGUCCUUUUCAUAUUUAAGCAUGCCUAGUUGCUUAUACGUAUGUGUUCGAGUGGUGCUCCGCUUUCAAACUAGAGAAAUUGCACCCAAUAGACACAAAAAAAAAAAACAAAAUUCACUGACUAACUAAAAACACCUCCUCUCUACUAGUUUCUCUUCCUAUCUCUCUACUCUUUCUCUAAAAAUCUAAUUUUACUUCUUUUUUUUUGGCUAUUUAGCAAAUAAACCCUUCAAACUACACCGUUGUUUUAUUUUCAUAUCGGAGUGCAAGUAUUAAAUCUAAACGGUUUUCUUAGACAGAAAUCUGAAAAAGUAAAGUAUUAUACUUUGUUUUUGUUUUGUUAUUUGUGCUAGUAAUCCGAUUGAACAAGUUAUUUAAUAGAUACGUACUAUCAUGUCACGUCCGACUCUUCUAAUGGUAUAGACCCAACUGGCGUUCUGGUUGUUGAAGAAAAUACAUUUUUGUUAUUUGCUUAUAUUAUGUAUAACUGAUUUGCUACACAUAUUUUGAUUAUUGAAUAAAUUCAUCCUAAAAAGGAGUUUGACUUCUGUGUAUAUAUUUCCAAAAAAUGAAGUGUAACCGGCUUGACAAGGUAAUAUAUAAACAAAUAUGUAUAAAAAUUAGAGAAUUCGGCCAAAAAAAACCUCAACUUUGUACGAAUUACCAAAAGAAACAUGAACUUUUGAGCUGACAAAAAAAACACUAAACUUUCAUUGACUUUAGAAUUAAUUAACA
rnacentral:lncRNA from 1 species